UGGGGAAUAUUGGACAAUGGGCGAAAGCCUGAUCCAGCCAUGCCGCGUGUGUGAAGAAGGUCUUCGGAUUGUAAAGCACUUUAAGUUGGGAGGAAGGGCAGUAAGCGAAUACCUUGCUGUUUUGACGUUACCGACAGAAUAAGCACCGGCUAACGCUGUGCCAGCAGCCGCGGUAAUACAGAGGGUGCAAGCGUUAAUCGGAAUUACUUGGCGUAAAGCGCGCGUAGGUGGUUCGUUAAGUUGAAUGUGAAAGCCCCGGGCUCAACCUCGGAACUGCAGCCAAGACUGGCGAGUCAGAGUAGUGUAGUGCGUGCUGGAAUUUCCCGUGUAGCGGUGAAAUGCGUAGAUAUAGGAAGGAACACCAGUGGCGAAGGCGACCACCUGAGCUAAUACUGACACUGAGGUGCGAAAGCGUGGGGAGCAAACAGG
rnacentral:rRNA from 1 species